rnacentral:rRNA from 1 species
CCUGGUUGAUCCUGCUAGUAGUCAUAUGCUUGCCUCAAAGAUUAAGCCAUGCAUGUGCAAGUAUGAACUAAUUCGAACUGUGAAACUGCAGAUGGCUCAUUAAAUCAGUUAUAGUUUGUUUGAUUGUAUGUGCUACUCGUAUAACCGUAGUAAUUCUAGAGCUAAUACGUGCAACAAACCCCGACUUCUGGGAGGGGCGCAUUUAUUAGAUAAAAGGCUGACACAAGCUCUACUCCCUCAUCCUAUGAUUCAUGAUAACUCGACGGAUCGCACAGCCCUCGUGCCGGUGACGCAUCAUUCAAAUUUCUGACCUAUCAAGUUUUGAUGGUGGGAUAGGGGCCUACCAUGGUGGUGACAGGAGACAGAGAAUUAGGGUUCGAUUCCGAAGAGGGAGUUUGAGAAACGGCUACCACAUCCAAGGAAGGCAACAGGCGCGCAAAUUACCCAAUCCUGAAACGGGGAGGUAGUGACAAUAAAUAACAAUACCGGGCGCGUUAGUGUCUAGUAAUUGGAAUGAGUACAAUCUAAAUCCUUUAACAAGGAUCCAUUGGAGGGCAAGUAUAGUGAUAGUAGCCGCGGUAAUUCCAGCUCCAAUAGCGUAUAUUUAAGUUGUUGCAGUUAAAAGGCUCGUAGUUGGAACUUGGGCCGUGUCGGCCAGUCCGCCUUCCGAUGAGCACCGACCCUCUCGACCCUUGUGCCGGCGAUGCGCUCCUGGCCUUUAUUGGCCGAGUCAUGCCUUCGGCGCCAUUACUUUGAAGAAAUUAGAGUUUUCAAAGCAAGCCAUCGCUCUGGAUACAUUAGCAUGGGAUAACAUUAUAUGAUUUCGGUCCUAUUGUGUUGGCCUUCGGGAUCGGAGUAAAUAUUAAUAGGGAUAGUCGGGGGCAUUCGUAUUUCAUAGCCAGAGGUGAAAUUCUUGUAUUUAUGAAAGACAAACAACUGCGAAAGCAUUUGCCAAGCAUGUUUUCAUUAAUCACGAACGAAAGUUGGGGGCUCGAAGACGAUCAGAUACCAUCCUAGUCUCAACCAUAAAUGAUGCCGACCAGGGAUCAACGGAUGUUUCUUAUAGGACUCCGCCGGCACCUUAUGAGAAAUCAAAGUCUUUGGGUUCCCGGGGGAGUAUGGUCGCAAGGCUGAAACUGGAAUUGACGGAAGGGCACCACUAGGCGUGGAGCCUGCGGCUUAAUUUGACUCAACACGAUGAAACUUACCAGGUCCAGAAGCAAGGAUUGACAGGCUGAGAGCUCUUUCUUGAUUCUAUGGGUGGUGGUGCUUGGCCGUUCUUAGUUGGUGGAGCGAUUUGUCUGGUUAAUUCUGUUAACGAACGAAACCUCAACUUGCUAACUAGCUAUACGGAGCCAUCCCUCCGCAACUAGCUUGAGUGUACAGUACAAGUUGUAUGAUAGAAGUACAUAAGUCCAGAGUAGCUUUCUUCUUCCUUUCUCCCUACCUAUGUCUUUGCUUGAGUUUGAGCUUGAGUAACUUGUGUGUCACACUACCUCAUUAUAAAUAUCUAUCUUACCCCUGUUUAUACAAUCGAAUACUCAACCAAGAUUUGCUCAUGAACUUACUUAUUCUAUAGCUGCCGCCUUUCCUACGGAAAUAUAAACACGACACCCGAGAUUACUCAUGGGUAAAAUGCUACAAUGGUAUUCCGUGCGCUUGCGGAUUUAUCAGUGAUGUAAGAAAUCCCACACGGCAUUUUUAGUACCAUUGCUAGGGAAUGAUGAUCCUAGUGAUGAUGC